AUUGAACGCUAGCGGGAUGCCUAACACAUGCAAGUCGAACGCGUGGCGAACGGGUGAGUAAUGUAUCGGAACGUGCCCAGUAGCGGGGGAUAACUACGCGAAACGUAGAUAAUACCGCAUACUAUUGGCGCGGCCGAUAUCGGAUUAGCUAGUUGUAGGGGUAACGGCCAACCCAGGCAACGAUCCGUAGCUGGUUUGGGAGGACGACCAGCCAAACUGGGACUACGACACGGCCCAGACUCCUACGGGAGGCAGCAUUGGGGAAUUUUGGACAAUGGGGGAAACCCUGAUCCAGCCAUCCCGCGUGUGCGAUGAAGGCCUUCGGGUUGUAAAGCACCUUUGGCAGGAAAGCGGUACCUGCAGAAUAAGCACCGGCUAACUACGUGCCAGCCGCCGCGGUAAUAC
rnacentral:rRNA from 1 species